rnacentral:rRNA from 1 species
GACGAACGCUGGCGGCGUGCUUAACACAUGCAAGUCGAACGAUGAAGCCGGAGCUUGCUCUGGUGAAUUAGUGGCGAACGGGUGAGUAACACGUGAGUAACCUGCCCUCGACUCUGGGAUAACUGCGGGAAACUGUAGCUAAUACCGGAUACGACCCUCGGAGGCAUCUCCUGGGGGGUGGAAAGAAUUUCGGUCAAGGAUGGACUCGCGGCCUAUCAGCUAGUUGGUGAGGUAACGGCUCACCAAGGCGACGACGGGUAGCCGGCCUGAGAGGGUGACCGGCCACACUGGGACUGAGACACGGCCCAGACUCCUACGGGAGGCAGCAGUGGGGAAUAUUGCACAAUGGGCGCAAGCCUGAUGCAGCAACGCCGCGUGAGGGAUGACGGCCUUCGGGUUGUAACCCUCUUUUAGUAGGGAAGAAGCGAAAGUGACGGUACCUGCAGAAAAAGCACCGGCUAACUACGUGCCAGCCGCCGCGGUAA